GUGCAAGCCGUCCGCUAUUUACAGCAUCCGGUGAAACCGCGAAAGGCUCAUUAAAUCAGUUAUGGUUCCUUAGAUCGUGCCCACGUUACUUGGAUAACUGUGGUAAUUCUAGAGCUAAUACAUGCCGACAGAGUUCUGACCAGCGCCGGGCAAGCGCGCACAUAUACGCGCGCGUGCGGUUUACAACGCUGCCGCGCCGCGUUAUGUACGCCGCGUGUCCGGAGUUUGGAAGGAACGCUCUUAUUAGAUCAAAACCGGCCAAGCGGGAUCGUUGGUAACGCGCGUGUGCGCGGCGUAUACACGUGUGACGUAUACUCGCGACUCGUUCGCGCUGGUACGCGCCUGUGUAUGCGUGGGCGCGCGCGCGCGUCUUCGUCCCCCGUAAGUGGCCCGCGCAAAGACUUGACGACUCUGAAUAAUUUCUAGCUGAUCGCACGGUCGAAACGUUUUAUUUCCGAAAAAAACAGUACCGGCGACGUAUCUUUCAAAUGUCUGCCUUAUCAACUGUCGACGGUAGGUUCGACGCCUACCGUGGUGGUAACGGGUAACGGGGAAUCAGGGUUCGAUUCCGGAGAGGGAGCCUGAGAAACGGCUACCACAUCUACGGAAGGCAGCAGGCGCGCAAAUUACCCACUCCCAGCUCGGGGAGGUAGUGACGAAAAAUAACGAUACGGGACUCAUCCGAGGCCCCGUAAUCGGAAUG
rnacentral:rRNA from 1 species